CCUACGGGAGGCAGCAGUGAGGAAUAUUGGUCAAUGGGCUUACGCCUGAACCAGCCAAGUCGCGUGAGGGAAGACUGCCCUAUGGGUUGUAAACCUCUUUUGUCAGGGAGCAAUUGGCGCUACGUGUAGCGUUAUCGAGAGUACCUGAAGAAAAAGCAUCGGCUAACUCCGUGCCAGCAGCCGCGGUAAUACGGAGGAUGCGAGCGUUAUCCGGAUUUAUUGGGUUUAAGGGAGGCGUAGGCGGAAUGCAAAGUCAGCGGGAAAAUUGCGGGGCUCAACCUCGCUCCGCCGUUGAAACUGGCGUUCUUGAGUGGGCGAGAAGUAUGCGGAAUGCGUGGUGUAGCGGUGAAAUGCAUAGAUAUCACGCAGAACUCCGAUUGCGAAGGCAGCAUACCGGCGCCCAACUGACGCUGAAGCACGAAAGCGUGGGUAUCGAACAGGAUUAGAUACCCCAGUAGUC
rnacentral:rRNA from 1 species